UUUGUUUUUAUAUGUUUUGGUUAACAUUACUUUUUAUGUAAACUUAAGUACUUUAUAACCUUAGUAUAUAGCAACUAUUUUCAUGUUAUAUACAAUGUUCUGAUAUUAGUGUUUUUUUUUUCUUAUAUUAGUAUUGUUAUUAGGGGUGAGUAUUUCGGUACCCCGUUUGGGUUUGAUUCCAGUCUAUUUGGAUCGAGUAUCAACAGAUAUUUGGAGUAUUUUUAUUGUUUUGAGUAUUUUUAGUUAUUUUGAAUAUUUAGUCUUGGUUGUUUAUAUAUAUUUUCAAGUAGUUUGGACAAUUUUAAAAUUUCUUAUAUAUUUUGGAUAGUUUUGGAUAUUAUCUAACGAUAACUAAUAUAUUUUAGUAUAUAAAUUCGAUUCAGAUAUUUUUGGAUAUCCAAAAUAUUACUGUUUGGAUCGGGAUCAGUUUUUUUAUUUCAGUUCUCCAAAUACCAAACUUUUGAACUUGUUUAGAUAUUUAAAUAUUUUUGUUAAGGUUCAGUACUAUUUUUUUAAUCGGAUUUGGUACUUUGGAUUUGGGUAUAUUGAUCAUCCGUACUUGUUAUACUUUUAACAAAAAACUAAAAUCUUUUAUAAUCGUCUUUAAUUAUUUUUUUAACACGAAUACUUCCAUUAAUUAAAAAAUAGUGCCAGCCCAAAGAUUAGUUUGUGGGCCUUAAUACAACAUGAUAGUUUCUGAGGGACAAAUAUGAAAUUGAUCGAAACAAACAAAGAACAGAGGCAAUGGAUAUCUGAAAGAAUACCAAAGAUCUCUUUCUGGAGCUGCUUGUUGGUAAUAGCUUUGAUAAGCGUUAGACUGUCGGAGCGCACUUGUAUGGAUGAGAUUCCAAGCGAUACUGCCGAUUGGAGAGCAGAUCUGAUGGCCAUAGCUUCUGCCUUCAGAGGAGAUGAGACAAAGUCUCUGAUCUUUGCUUCCUUUUGGUAGAUGUUCGUAUGUGUGUUUCUGAAGAUCCAUGCGAGACCCGAUCGCUUUGUCGAUUUGUCCCAUGAGGAAUUAGUGAAGCAUAUCGUACGGUGAGGUCAAACGGUUCUCGAAGAUGAGCUGGUUUCGAGCCAUCCAAAUCGCCCAGCAUAUCCAUGGGAAGAUAGAGCCGGGGAUCCCUGAAGGAGGAAGGCAUACAACAUUCUGAAAUUUAACCAGCACAUUAGAGAUAAAAAUCAAGAUCAGCUAUGUGAACUGUCGAUGAUAAGGGAAUCAAGCGAUCCAAACAUCCUUAGCAAAAGGGCAGGAGAAGAGUAGAUGAGUAGUGGUUUCCUCUUCCUUGCAUCUUGGGCAGCAGAUGUCUGACAUUACUCCACGACUUCUUAGGUCGUCUCCCACAGGCAUUGUAUUUCGAAUGCAAGACCAAAGGAACACGAUAUAUAAAAUAUACUUUUGAAUUAUUUCCAUUAAUUAAGAAAUUAAAAUAUUUCAUAAUGUGAAGAUUUGCCUAAAAAAUUUAUAGAUACUGUUUGAAAUCUUAGAUCUUUCUAUAUGUUAAGACUUUCCCUAAAAUUAUGUACAUAUUAUUCUUUAUCAAAAUUUGAUAAGUUA